rnacentral:rRNA from 1 species
AUGGACCCGAGUGAUAGAGGCCCAGAUGAGUUACCACCACCACCUCCUCUGCCUCCGGAUGUGGUGCCCAUCAAAGCAGAAGAAGAUGUCGCCGAGGAACCGCCUCCAAACAAGCCAUCAAAGCCCAAAAGGCUCCCAAUGGCUAGGCCUGGGCUAGGGAAGAGAGGGCACACCAUCCAGCUACUUGCUAACCACUAUAAAGUCUCCUUCAAGGGUUCAGAGGAAUUUUUCUACCACUACCAUGUUAAUCUAAAGUAUGAGGAUGAUCAACCUGUUGUUGAAAAGGGGAUAGGGAGAAAGGUGCAGGAUAAACUGCUGCAAAUGUACCAUUCCGAUCUUGCGAACAAGGACUUUGCAUAUGAUGGUGAGAAGAGCCUCUUUACAAUUGGGGCUCUUCCCCAAGUACACAAUGAAUUCACUGUAGUAUUGGAAGACAUUGGAAGUGGAAAGAGCUCUGGAGGUAAUAGUGGCAAUAGUCCUGAAGGUAGUGACACGAAGAGAGUGAGGAGGCCUUACCAGUCAAAGAUUAUAAAAGUGGAGCUGAGCUUUGCGGCGAAAAUCCCUAUGGCCGCAAUCGCGCAGGCCAUUAGAGGUGAAGAAUCAGAGAACUCCCUUGAGGCUAUUCGAGUUCUUGAUAUCAUACUAAGGCAGCAUUUUGCAAAACAAUAUUCCGCCAAUCAUUUUUUCCACAAUAAUCCUAAAAGUUUCAUUGAUUUGGGCGGCGGUUUGUUGGGAUGCCAAGGAUUUCACUCAAGUUUCCGUGGUGCACAGAGUGGACUCUCCCUAAAUAUUGAUGUUUCGACUACCAUGAUAGUUAAACCUGGUCCUGUUGUCGAUUUUCUUCUUGCUAACCAGAUGGUUCGUCGCACCGACGAAAUUAACUGGCCAAAGGCCAAGCGUACCCUCAAGAGCUUGAGGAUAAAAACCACUCACACAAAUUCAGAGUUCAAGAUAAUUGGUUUGACUGAGAAAAAUUGCAACAAACAAACGUUUCCAUUGAGGCGGAGGAAUGGUGACAACGGAGACACUGAUACUGUUGAAAUAACAGUCUAUGAUUACUUCAUACAGAACAGAGGCAUAGAACUGCGCUAUUCUGGUAAUCUUCCAUGUAUCAAUGCUGGGAGGCCAAACCGUCCAACUUACUUCCCUGUCGAGCUUUGCACGCUUGUUCCUCUGCAAAGAUACACCAAAGCUCUGUCUACUCUGCAGAGGUCCUCACUUGUCGAGAAGUCCAGACAAAAGCCUCAUCAAAGAAUGUCAACUCUUGAUGAUGUGAGUUAUCAUCUACUCCCUUCUUCAUCGUACGCUAAAUGCAUGGCACUUAAACGUAGCAACUAUGACUCUGAUCCCAUGCUGAAGGCAUGUGGCAUUUCAAUUGCCCGAAAUCUUACUCAAAUUGAAGGGAGGAUCCUACAAGCGCCCAAGCUGAAAGCCGGUGACGGUGAAGAAUUCAUCCCACAAAAAGGUCGUUGGACCCUUGCGAGAAAGAAGCUGAUUCGGACCGGUUCUGUCAUGAGGUGGGCAGUUGUCAAUUUCUCUGCACGUUGUGAUGCUCGUGGUCUUGUCCGAGAACUUACAAGGAUUGCAAUUGCAAUGGGGAUUAAAAUAGAGGACCCUCAUGAUGUAAUUGAAGAGAGCCCGUCAGUGCGACGCGCUCCCACGUUGCGGAGAGUGGACGAGAUGUUUGCUCAGUUAAAAUCAAAGCUACCUGGACAACCCAAGUUCCUGCUGUGUCUUCUUCCUGCAAGCCCAUGGAAGAGGAAGUGUCUUGCCGAAGUUGGCAUUUUCACACAAUGUCUAGCUCCUCCCCCAAGAGUCAACGAUCAGUACCUAAUUAAUGUGCUAUUGAAAAUAAAUGCUAAGCUUGAUGGGCUAAACACACUGCUACAAGGUGAGCUACCCCCUGCACCUGCAGUAUUACCCAUUGUGGGGAAGGUGCCUACUAUUAUCUUGGGCAUGGAUGUGUCACAUGGUCAGCCUGGGCAGUCUGAUAGGCCUUCCAUUGCUGCGGUGGUUAAUUCUCGCGAGUGGCCUCUCAUCUCCAAAUACAGAGCAACAGUGCACACUCAGUCACCCAAACUAGAAACAAUGUCUUCCUUGUUUAAACCACGAGGAACGGAAGAUGAUGGCCUCAUUUGGGAAUCGCUUAUCGACUUCUACACUAGUUCUGAGAAUAGAAAACCAGAUCAAGUUAUUAUUUUCAGGGAUGGAGUUAGCGAAAGCCAGUUUACUGAUGUCAUAAACAUUGAGCUUGAGCAGAUCAUCCAGGCCUGCAAGUUCCUCGAUGAGAAGUGGGAGCCUAAGUUCACAGUAAUUGUUGCUCAGAAAAACCAUCAUACCAGAUUUUUCCAGACUGGAUGUCCGGAUAAUGUUUCUCCUGGGACCGUCGUGGAUAAAGAGGUCUGCCAUCCCAAGAAUUUCGACUUCUACAUGUGUGCACAUGCUGGGAUGAUAGGCACGUCGAGGCCAACACAUUACCAUGUUCUGCAUGAUGAGAUCGGCUUCACCGCGGAUGAGCUUCAGGAAUUUGUGCAUUCGCUUUCAUACGUGUACCAGAGGAGCACAACAGCGAUAUCAGUCGUUGCUCCGAUCAUGUACGCACAUCUGGCGGCGGCCCAGGUAGGUACGUUCGUGAGGUUUGAAGACAUGUCGGACGUGUCGUCGAGCCAGGGAGGGGGGCACACAUCGGCGGGCAGCAUUCCGGUGCCGGAGCUGCCUCGGCUGCACAAGAAUGUGAGGAGCUCCAUGUUCUUCUGCUGA